CCUACGGGUGGCAGCAGUGAGGAAUAUUGGUCAAUGGACGCAAGUCUGAACCAGCCAUGCCGCGUGCAGGAAGACGGCUCUAUGAGUUGUAAACUGCUUUUGUACGAGGGUAAACGCAGAUACGCGUAUCUGUCUGAAAGUAUCGUACGAAUAAGGAUCGGCUAACUCCGUGCCAGCAGCCGCGGUAAUACGGAGGAUUCCAGCGUUAUCCGGAUUUAUUGGGUUUAAAGGGUGCGUAGGCGGUCGGAUAAGUUCGAGUGGAAAUCCCGAGGUUCAACUUCGGAAUUGCCUCUGAUACUGUUCGGCUAGAGAGUAGUUGCGGUAGGCGGAAUGUAUGGUGUAGCUGUGAAAUGCUUAGAGAUCAUACAGAACACCGAUUGCGAAGGCAGCUUACCAAGCUACUUCUGACGUUGAGGCACGAAAGCGUGGGGAGCAAACAGGAUUAGAUACCCUGGUAGUC
rnacentral:rRNA from 1 species